rnacentral:lncRNA from 1 species
UUCAAGUCCAAAUGAGAUGCAGCUGAAUGCUGGGGCCAGCUGUUGGGGUGAGCCAAUCAGCCCGUGGGACAGCCCCGCAGCUGCAGCUCUGCCACUACUCCCUGUGCCUGAACUUGCUUUUUUCCCCCCCAUACAAUUCAUCUGGGCUGCCCCUGUGAGAAUCCUGCUGUUUGAGAGCUCGGGUGGGAGCUGGGAGAAAACUGAACUUCCUGCCCAUCCUGGUAUUUCAAAAACCCAGCAUUUGUUUCGCUGCAAGAUCUGCCUUGAGUGAAGUGUAACAAAAAAUGCUACAGCGGUUUUGUCUCUGGAAGUGGUUAGCUGUAGGGAUUGCACUUGCUACUGUCUUAGCGGGUUCCUUGGCCCAGAACGAUGAAGCUCAUCCCACCAAGUUCUGUGGAAGAUACAAACUUGAGAUUUCUGUGUCUGUUGUGUACAAAAAGAGUACUGCACUGAAAGGGGGAGAAACUGCUCAGGGAAAGAUGAGAAACCUGAAAACCCAACAUGAUUUCUGUGGUGAUGACCUUGAUACUAAGCCUGAAGUCUAAAAGUCACAAAGAAACCAUUUAGGAAAAUGGGACAGCUGGGUGCUCUUAGCUCACGUGUAAGCAGAGUGUAGCUGUCCCCUCUCCCAUGUUUCAGUUUAUUAAAUGCUUUUCCUAUUUUACUUGCACAUAAAGAAGUUUCAUCGACAGUACAGGCUUCCACCUGCUUUUUCUGAUUUGCUCGUAGUAGUAUUUUUUCUGCUUUUAUACAGUAGCGAAGGCUGAUGCAGCUUUAAAACUUGCUUGUGGUAUCUGGAUUCAGUUUAAUCUAAAUAGUAAAUAUUUUUUCACUCUCCUGUGUGAGAUUGUCUUAAAUGUAUCGGUGGUAAUAGGGAAAAUAGAAUUUCAGAAAUACUGAAAACAGUGAAAUUUUAGUGCUAGCCAUGGUUAAAAGCAGACUGAGUCAACUUUUAAAAUUUUAGCAUGUCUGAAGAUGUUACAGCUUUUCUUGAUUCAUCCAGUGCAUUUUCAUGGUCUUAAAAAUUACUUUUGGUUAAUAGCAGUUUUAGGUGCUGCUUGGCAUAGCAUCGUGGUUUUUGUGUUUUACAGGGUUUGGGGGCACAAGUAUGAUUUUUAAAAGGCUCUGUCAACUCCAAAACUGCUUAUAAAAUGGAAGUUGUUUCAGUCUGAAAGAAUAUUGCUCAAAAGAUCGAUGGUACUGCAUUUUUGUAAAGCAGUAAAAAUAAAAUACCAAUACAUAGCA